GAUGAACGCUGGCGGUGUGCCUAAUACAUGCAAGUCGAGCGACCAGACGAGAAGCUUGCUCCUCUGACGUUAGCGGCGGACGGGUGAGUAACACGUGGAUAACAUACUUCUAAUACUGGGAUGAUUUCGGGAAACCGGUGCUACUACCGCAUCAUAUAUCGUACCGCUUAGAUCAGUAGUUAUUCACGGCUUUGCUGUUACAUUUAGCUGGUUCCGCGCCGCAUUAGCUAGUUGGUAAGGUAACGGCUUACCAAGGCGACGAUGCGUAGCCGAGCUGAGAGGGUGAUCGGCCACACUGGAACUGAGACACGGUCCAGACUCCUACGGGAGGCAGCAGUAGGGAAUCUUGCGCAAUGGGCGAAAGCCUGACGGAGCAACGCCGCGUGAGUGAAGAAGGUCUUCGGGUCGUAAAACUCUGUUAUUAGGGAAGAAAAAAUGCGUAAGUAACUAUGCACGUCCUGACGGUACCUAAUCACAAAGCCACGGCUAACUUCGUG
rnacentral:rRNA from 1 species